CUGAGCCGCUGCAGUUCAUCAGUCAGGAGGCGACCACCGUGGGGGAGGGUGAACGUGGUGAAUACCGAGUAUAUCAGUGCAAAGAGAUGAACCUGAUAAUAAUAAGUGCCUCCCAACCCUUCUGAAGAUAUCUAGGGGCGUCAUAACGGUCAGAACUCCCACUGCUCCUCAGACGAGGCGCUGCGCUGCAGACUGCCAGACACAUCCGCUGCAAGCAGUGAUGAGACAUCGAGCUGGAGAGAGAAGAUACGAAAGUGGCCAACACGUCCCAGAAAGGCGUUCACGUUGUUCCUGACUCCUAAGGAAGGCACCCAGCGACGGCGCUAAGGGGGGGCUUAUUAGAGAGGUAUCAGUUCCCUCUUCACAAAUCUCCUUAGCUCCCGCUUCAUCCCCCCCCCCCCCCCCAGUCAAUUUUAAAGCAAAUUGCUGCUAUUCCUCGGCACAACUUCAACUCCUCCUUGCUCUAAGAAAGCCACAUUCUAAAGCCUCCCAUAGAAAUAAUCCGAAAGCCGCCGCUGGUGAUCUCUAAAGGGAUGUCUGUCUCUUACAGCAAGCAUCAUCACUCAGCCUGAACACACUUGUUUUACAAAGCCUUUUCCUUUUCCUUUCAUUUAUUUUAGCUGAUUUACAUUUUUCAUCAAGCAUCAUUCAUUUAAGUCUCUCUCCUCCUCUUUCUGUAUGCAGAAUUUCUCAUAGUACCCUUACACUUAUUUUAGUGUUCCAAUAUGAUAUACCUUGUACAGUAACAUUACCAGUCUGUUGUUUGCAUGGGCAUAUCAUAAUAAUAUUAAUGAUACUACUACUACUACUACUACUACUACUACUAAUAAUAAUAAUAAUAAUAAUAAUAAUAAUAAUAAUAAUAAUAAUAACAUCAAAGAACUCGUUGUCUCAUCACAUAGAUGUUCAUGUCACUUCUGUAAUCCUCCGUGGUAUAGAUUACCUCUGUGAUAGUCAGCCUUUUUGAUCACCCCAAAUGACCUGUUGCAUGGCAGGAAUGAAUGCCUUGAUAUGAGGAGAUUAAUCUCCACAGGGAAGAGCCAGUCACCAUGAACCUCCUUUGAGCCACGAGUAUCAUUUACACUACCAUUGCCAGAAAAAACAAUCAAGAGUUGUGAACUUGGCACCUUCUUUGAGUCUGUCAGUAAUUCACAUGAUUAGGCAACUUCUUGGUUUUAAUGUCAUGUACUACACAAGUUACACCCCCCAUGACUUCUUCAAUGGCUUUACCAGUUGGGAGGCAGCAGCAUGACAUUGUUUUCUGAAGGCCACCAGCAGCCACACACCUUUGCAUUGCAGUUUUUAGUUAUUCAAUGCCUUAAUGAGGAUAUUACAAUUUGGGGGAAAAUUUAACAUUCAAGUUAUCUCUCCUUGGUGUUGCCACUUUAGUCAUUAAUCUUUAGUAAAGGUGAAUAUUCUGUGGAUGUCAUGAUGCUGAUUAGGUCAAAAGUGCUACUGAUGACAACACUGUCAUCUAACCGACAUAGUGGUCUACCUACCAAGUCAAUUUUAGGUGUCAGGUGUUCAGGGUAAGGUACUUGUAUCCCGUUCACUGAGUGGAGGUGCAACACCCGGCAUUUGAUUUCAGUGCACCCUCUGCCUCCCCAAGUGUUCUGUGUUUUGAGCAAUGAACAGCAUGACUCACUUCCAGCAGUGUAUGUUAGAAAAUUGCCCACCUGAAAUUGAACUUACAAAUUGACUGCACUGAAAAGGUUGAAUUAUUGGAAAAUGUAUAGUGACUUCAUUCUAGAAAUUUCAUUCAAACCAGACCAAUCAUUUUUUUGAAAAUUUUCAACCCUCCCCCCCCCCCCACACAAAAAAUGAAAUAAAUUGUCCUGAGAUUUUAAUUAGAUUUACUACCUAGUUUAUAAUACUAACCAUAGAAUCUCCACCAACAUCAGGGGGCGACCCCACCCUUUGCCAACCCUCAUGACACCCAUUGUUAAGCUUUCACUGGACAUGCUCAUCACAUCGCAGAGAUACUGCCAUGUUGAAUGGUCUUGUUAGGCAUAUUGUCAGCCUUUUCUGUGAACAUCUAAAUAUUCUACAAAACUGAAAUAUCUGGGACUUGUAAUGGUGCACACGUCACCACAGCCAGUUGCAGGGCCCUGUGGUUUGCAUGAAAUUAGUGACGAAUAAAAGAGGCGUUGCUGCUACUGGCCUUUAAAAGACAAUGUCAUGCCUCAGCCUCCCAAAUGGUGAAGCCUACUACUUUAGGAAGCCAUGGGGGUAUAACUUGUGUAUGAUGUCAAGACCAAGAAAAGUAAUAUGCACAUGUGGGAUGAGACAUAUUAGUGAACAUGGUUCAGAAGUUGCCAGCUGCCUCAUCAUGUGGAUUGCUGAUAGGCUCAGUGAAGGUGCCAGGUUCACAGCUUUGUCUGUUUUUGUUGCCAACAGUUGAGUUAAAUAAAAAAUAUAGCAUGUAUAUAUGAUACUCAUGGCUCUUACAGAGGUUCAUAGUGCUUGCUGUUCCAUGUGGAGAUUAAUCUAUUGUUUCUCUACAUUUCCAAUAGUAAAACUCGAUUUUAUCCUCAUAAUAAUCAGGAAAACUUAAAUGAGAAACAUUAGUUUUUAUUAUGUAUAUAAUCAUUUAUUUAGAACUAUAAAAUAUAAAAUUUUUACAUAAGAUUUUAAGGCACAAGUUUCAUGCACUAUAAAAAUAUCAACAACCGGGAGAAAUAUCUUUCAUAUUUUUAUAAACAAUCUUUACAAAACACUUAAAGUUCUGGUUGCUUUAUGCAGACUAACUUUAAUAUAAUCACAAAUUCAUCACAAUAUAUAAAUCUAAAUUCUCAUAAAUCUCUUAGUUAUGGGAAUGAUAACAUAUGGAAGUGUAUUCAAACCUUGUAACAAUAACAGGUUGCUAAUGUAUAAUGAGAAAGAGAGAGGGGGGGCUGGGGGGGGAGUAUAUAUCAUGUGCCUGGUGGGGGAGGGGGUAUCUGUGGGAUUUGUCAACUUACUGUGGAGACACAUCCUGUGGCAGAGAGAGAGAGAGAGAGAGAGAGAGAGAGAGAGAGAGAGAGAGAGACUGACUGACUGACUGACUGUUGAAGAAAUGAAUAGGAAAGGAUGGGAGAGAAUUCAGUACAGGUGAUUUGCAUUCCACAUACCACCGGAACUUUUAAUUCGUAAUUUUGUGAUGGAUUUCACAUAAAGGGUUGGUGUAUGAGUGUUUUUCAUCAACAGUAUCAUGCAUGUAAUGCUUUAAAUUUACUGAAGUAAAAAUUAUUAAUUUUAAUAACACAAAAGAACUUAGAAUAUAUUGUACUACCUUAAAAUAAAUCGGGGAAGGAAAAUUUUUAUAUUUUACUUCUAUACACAGCUAUCUCUUGAUUUACUUGAUUAAUAUAUGUUAGGAAGUGAAAUACUAAAGGAAAAACACAAGUCUUGGAGACUACGACUUGCAUGGGCAGAGAGAUCAAUGGCCUAUCCAAUAAGUGGGCAGGGUGGCAUCUGUUUUGUCUCAAAUACUAUUUGCAGGAUGCAUUUUGGAUACUUUUACUACUGUAAUGACAAUGAUCUAAUUAUCUAUUAAAGUAUGUAGAAAACUACAUAUAUUUAAUGAAUGUCAACCAUAAUCACCACUGACAGAAUUUUAUCAUCUAUGGGGUACAUGACCAUAGGGCUCUUAUUUAUUACUGUAUAAUGAUGUAAAUUUACUUAAAGAUAAAUCAUGAUAUAGACCCUUGGUUGUGCCAUUCAUUAUAUAUGCUAUGGAGUAUAGUAUUCUAGCAAUGGUGACUGAUUGAUAUUCAUGAAAUAUAAGUAGUUUUACACAUUAUCUUAUAAUGAGAAAUAUUUAUUAGUAAGUUUCUAUUACUGAGAUAGUAAAAAGAUCCAGCAAGUAGUAGUUGGAAACAAAUGAGGCCACCCUAGCUCAACUAAUGGACAGGUCGGCAAAAUCUACACAUCAAAGUUGGAAUCCCCAUAACGGAAAUUUUGUGCUUCCCCUUUUAACACGAUGUGAUCCCUGAGUGCGAUACACUGAAAGGAAAAAACAAGUGAUAGUUGUACAUAUGGGUAAAACCUAUGCAUUGUCAUUCCCUGAUUUGCUGCACCUUAAAAUAUUUUUAAUUCCCAUGUAAUGAAUAGGAAAAUUGACAGGGUAAUAUAAUACAUCUACAUACUAUUCAUAUAGGUAAAAAUAAAUAUACCACCCUCUUCAUUAAGUCCAUUACUUAAAAUUAUGAUUGUAAAGUUCUAGUCAGAUGUGGUACCUACACCCUUACU